rnacentral:rRNA from 1 species
UACGUAGGGUGCAAGCGUUGUCCGGAAUUAUUGGGCGUAAAGAGCCAGUAGGCGGCCAACUAAGUCCGACGUGAAAUCCCAAGGCUUAACCUUGGAACUGCGUCGGAUACUGGAUGGCUUGAAUUCGGGAGAGGGAUGCAGAAUUCCAGGUGUAGCGGUGAAAUGCGUAGAUAUCUGGAGGAAUACCGGUGGCGAAGGCGGCAUCCUGGACCGACAUUGACGCUGAACGGCGAAAGCUAGGGGAGCAAACGGG